AAAAUAUCUAAGGGAGAGGGAGAGAGAGAACCGUGAAAGAGAGAUAGAGAGGGAAAGAUGAUCAUCCAUGGAAGCUUGGAAAAUUGAAGAGAUUAAAGGGGAAAAACAAGGAAUUAAGUUAAGAUCGAAACGAGGACACCGUCCCAUUGCUACCGGGAGCCGAUCACUGCACUCCACCUGGAGGUCAGCCUCAACCCAAGGCAUCCGUUCCUCUUAUGUCAACCUCAGGGUGUCCAGGCACUUAGAUGAAGGCAACUCAUUUUACGGAGUUUUGCUAAACUUUUGAUUUUGUACCCUGAUUGUCUGUCUAAAGAGGAAGUGUGUAUAAUCCUUUUACCUUUCAAUGCUUUUGUUAUACACCCAAUCUUGAGGGCUGGGUCUGUAUAUGUAUGUGUAUAAGCAUAUAGCUAAAUUCUCAGAUGCACGUCACUGUAUGUUUAUUUGCCUUAUGUUCCAUUAGUGAUCCUAGCAUGGUAGUUAUAGCUCAAUGGAGAUGGUUUUCUGUUAUUUUAAAAUAUUAAUGCUUCCGUUCAGGCC